GUCAGGCACAGUGCCAUGUGCCUGUAGCCCAAGGUACUUGGUGGCUGAGGCAGGAGGAUCCCUUGAGACCAGGAGUUCAAGACCAGCCUGGAGAACACUGCAAGAUCCCAUCUCAA
rnacentral:sRNA from 1 species